ACUCCUACGGGAGGCAGCAGUAGGGAAUUUUCCACAAUGGACGAAAGUCUGAUGGAGCAACGCCGCGUGAACGAUGAAGGCUUUCGGGUCGUAAAGUUCUGUUGUUAGGGAAGAAACAGUGCCAUUUGAAUAAGAUGGCGCCUUGACGGUACCUAACGAGAAAGCCACGGCUAACUACGUGCCAGCAGCCGCGGUAAUACGUAGGUGGCAAGCGUUGUCCGGAAUUAUUGGGCGUAAAGCGCGCGCAGGUGGCUA
rnacentral:rRNA from 1 species